ensembl:lncRNA
GUGUGUGUGUGUGUGUGUGUGUGUGUGUAUGAGUGUGCAUGUGCAUGCAUGCAUGUAUGUGUGCGUGUGCACGCUUGUGUGUGUGUGUGUGUGUGUGUACAGAGAGUAAGUACGGGAGAUUGCCUUGUAAAAUAUUAUGAUGCUCAGCUCAACAACCAGUAUUCUGUGGAGUUCAUGCGGUAAAAAGCCGCGCUACAAUAAUUAGCAGCUGAAUGGAGCUGACUGCUUUUUGCAUGUAAAUAACAAUCCAUCACGGAUCUCUUCAGCAGCACUUUAUGGAGCAGCAACUCAGUGCAGCGUAGUGCAGUAACCAAACAGAAGAGCGCUUUCAAACGAGACACAGCUGGGCUGGAAUGAGAGAUAAUGUUUGGGAAAUGGUCAUUUUAAUGACCCGUAAAGAAAAGUUUCUGAAAAUGUUUUGUUUUUUCCCCGCUCCUGAUUUGUUUUGCUCACCUUCAGCUCAAGGCAGAGACGAUGGAGUCAGGUGAGGCAGAGACGAUGGAGUCAGGUGAGACAGAGAGUUGAGCCAUAAUGGAGUAUGUAGCGCCUCAUCCAGUUGGCUGCGGAGUGGCCCUUUCAUUUUUUGCUUCUGUUUGGGGCGCGCUGCCUUCAGGGCUCGCAGACAGAUUACACACGACGCAGGUGUGUGCCCAUUGGGCUACCCAGGUGCCCCGGGGCGCUUCUCGCUGGCCCGAGCCGUCUCUCAGUGAGGCCGACACAGGGAGGGGAGACAGGCAGAGCGCCCACAUCGCAGCCAGGGAACGGCUACUGUUGUUGCCCCUCCCUGCCUCUCUCGCCCAGUCUUGAGUGUCUGCCCGGGCUGAGACACAAGGGUGCUCAUCUCUGUCGUUCUCUUUGUCAGGCAAAUGUGUGUUUUUUUUGGCCCCCAAAUAAGAAGAAGAAGGGGAAGACAGCUUUGUAGGUUCUCUUUCUCUUUUUCUUUUUUUUGUUUAGCACCGCAUGGAGAUGUUAGGAAGAAACAGCAGAGUCUGCCGUACAGCGGAUUUGCUGAGCUGCUGUUCAGGUUCUGUUUCCAGCGGUUGUGCGGUCGAAGCAUUACAGAGAAAUCGGGUUACGUUUCUCUUGUGUGGUGAUGAUAGAUGUAUGUGGAUGUGAGGUUAUGCUUUUAUGACGCCAACAAAUAAUUUGUUCAAUUACUGGUUUGUGAGCUGCAAAUUUGGAUUGUUAUUCGCAUCAUAAACCUACCCACUGACGUCGGCUGACCAGAUAGAUGUUUAUUAAAAUUGAACAGGACUUGUUCAUUUUGUUACUGUCCUUUGACAAACUAAUAGACAUUUUCUCAUAAUAUAUGCACACACGAAUUGUCUAGCAGUGACCGUUGCUUAUGAAAGGGGAGUGCAACUUAAAGCAGUCAAUAACUGUUAAAAGUGGAUUCACCCUGGAGUGAAAAAAACAUCUUACUGUCUUAAUAUACUAUUCUCAACAACCUGCAGUCAUCCUGUCAACAGUUCAACAUGGCAGUUGUCAUUCCAUCAAACUGUGGAGGUAUGGAGCAUGGCGAAAAAGGGCAUCCAGUUCAUCUUGUCAACUACAAAGUGACUUACAGAAAGGAGAAGUUGGAGAAGAAAAGCCAAGGGAGGGAUGGUGUGUGAGUGUGUGUGUGUGUGUGUGUGUGUGUGUGUGUGUGUGUGUGUGUGUGUGUGCCGGUCUAAGGAAAGGGCAGCAUGGAGACAGACAGCUGUGACUGCUGCUCUUUCUGAGGGGGAGUUUGUGAAUUAAUGAUAGGACAGAGAUGACACACUGCUGAGCUCUCCAGCAUGUCCUCACUACAGCCACAGUGGGGGCCACAGACACACACAGACACACACACACACACACACACACACACACACACACACUCAGACACACACACACACACACACACACACACACACACACACGCACACACACAUGCACGCACAUACACACCAAACAACCCUUCUCCAUUGAAACACAAUAAUGAUAUGUCACCAACACACUCUUUUUCAGAAUAAUGACAUGCCACCAAUACUCACCACCAUCCACACCCUAAUAAUGACGUACUGAGUCACACAAAUAAAGGACACAGAUGCAUCUGAAGGGCCACUGACACAGGAUAGAUAUAUAUACAAUAUCCUCUAUCCAUGAUAUUAUGAAUAAGCUUUUUUAUCUUUACUAUACAGUAGAAUACAAAAGAGUUUUUACAUCCCACUAUCAAGCAUAUGAAGGUAUUAAGGUACCACGCAGACACAUUAGCAUAUUAACCUGUGACAUUAACCUCAUUAAUACACGAGUCACCAACCAGUGCAUGAUUCAGCUGGUGUUACUUGAAGGCAGUUUUGGUAGUGGUAGCUCACUGGUCAUAAUACAACACUAGUAGCAGGCAGCCAAGGCCAAGGAGUACAGAAUCCACCGGGAGAAAUGUGUGCAGAAACUGCAGAAGCAGAAAUGACUGUUGCUAUGGAUGAGGGUGUUUGCCUUACAGAUACAUAGAGCUGCUGAUGCACCUGCAUACUGGCACUGCAAUGGUAUGCAGGAUAGGAAGCCAGCAUGUACUGAAUACUGUAGAUUUUCGUAUGGACACAAGUCCUAUUUUUUUUAGCCAGAAUUGAACUAACCUAAAUAUGUCAGAAUGCAUUUACGUUGUUUUUUUUUUGGAAGCUAACCAUAUUUUUUAAAUGUGUCGCUCUGACCUCCAAUCAUUUUUUCCCUCGGUGACAGGAGGGGGAGACACUGCCACACCCAAUAAAUCGAACAGAAGGUUGAUUCAAAUGGAACGACACCUGCUUCAUCAGUAGUAACAAAAGAAGAAAUAAAACACAUUAAUCAGCAGAUGAAACAUUAGUGCUUGACAUGUACACUCGUAAUGCUUCAGCAGGCGUGCACAGGCACGCCUCAGGUAGAGCUUAUGCAAUAAUUGUGAAACUCUUCGGAGAGCACAAGUAUUUUGAGGACUACAUACUAUAACGGCUGCACGGCUCAGAGCACCAGCAAACACGCUGCAGUAUCACACGAUCAGAAACGCACUCUUCAAAGCAACACAAAUACGCAUUAUUUUUAACAAGUGCCAGGCAGAGCAUUAGAUGCGAUAUUCAGGCCACA